rnacentral:rRNA from 1 species
AUUGAACGCUAGCGGCAUGCUUUACACAUGCAAGUCGAACGGCAGCGCGGACUUCGUUCUGGCGGCGGGUGGCGAACGGGUGAGUAAGGUAUCCGAACGUGCCCAGUCUCUGGGGAUAACUACGCGAAAGCGUAGCUAAUACCACAUACGCCCUACGUUCGAAAGCAGGGGAUCGUAAGACCUUGCACCUUUGGCGCGCCCGAUCACGGAUUGGCUAGUUGGUGGGGUAACGGCUCACCAAGGCGACGAGCCGUAGCUGGUUUGAGAGGACGACCAGCCACACUGGGCUUGAGCCACGGCCCAGACUCCUACGGGAGGCAGAAGUGGGGAAUUUUGGACAAUGGGGGAAACCCUGAUCCAGACAGCCCGCGUGUGCGAUGAAGGCCUUCGGGUUGUAAAGCACUUUUGGCAGGAAAGAAACGUCGCGGGCUAAUACCCCGUGGAACUGACGGUACCUGCAGAAUAAGCACCGGCUAACUACGUG